CUGUGAAAUUAUGGCACUUAUCUUUCAGAACUUACCCGAAAUGAAGAGAAAACUCAUUGCUGAUCACUU
ensembl:snoRNA